UACGAAGGGGGCUAGCGUUGCUCGGAAUCACUGGGCGUAAAGGGUGCGUAGGCGGGUCUUUAAGUCAGGGGUGAAAUCCUGGAGCUCAACUCCAGAACUGCCUUUGAUACUGGGAAGCUUGAGUCCGGGAGAGGUGAGUGGAACUCCGAGUGUAGAGGUGAAAUUCGUAGAUAUUCGGAAGAACACCAGUGGCGAAGGCGGCUCACUGGCCCGGUACUGACGCUGAGGCACGAAAGCGUGGGGAGCAAACAGG
rnacentral:rRNA from 1 species